UAUUUUUUAGAAGCAUGCUAGGAUUCGAACCUGUAAUUUUCUAAUCCAUAAUCAGACGCGUUAACCGUUGCGCUAAGUUGAAAAAAAC